AUCUACAGCCAUGCCACCCUGAACAAGCCCGAUCUCAUCUGAUCUCAGAAGCUAAGCAGGGUCGGGCCCGGUUAGUACUUGGAUGGGAGACCACCUAGGAAGACCAGGUUCUAUAGGUG
rnacentral:rRNA from 1 species